ACUUUUUACAGAAUCAGAUCAGAAGGUGGUUAAGAGGAGAUGGCCCAUGAUGAACUGGGCCUUUGUUCAGCAGUCCAACAGUGGCAAGAAGAUGGUCGAUGAUAAACUGGGCACUGGGCAUCUCAGCGUUCAGAGUGAAGAGACUCCACCAGCCUCAAAGCCAAAACAGCUCUUUGGUGUUCCUCUCAGUGACAUUUGUGACAACCUGCCAACCCCUAUUCUAGAUAUGCUUUCAUUUGUGAAUCAAAAUGGCCACUCACAAAGGGCAUCUUUGGAAAAUCUGCCACUCUGAAGUCAUGUAGAGUUCUCAAGGAUAAGCUGAAUUCUGGAGCUGUAGUGGACUUGGACAAUGAGUCUGCUCUUGUGGUGGCAUCUGUCUUAAAGUUGAAGUUGGAGAAAACCCAAGCACUUGCUUCUGAGUGUGCAAGUCAGGAAACCUUGGAGUCAAGCACUUUGUAGGUCGCAGUUUGGGAAGCUACGAAGAACAGAGAACCUAAAGUAAAUUUCCUAAUGAAAUGUUUUUAUCUGGUAUAUAUUGACAAUAAGAGUAUGUUUUUUAAUCCCUGAAAGGAUUUUAUUCGCAACAUCCCAGGAAAUAUAUUUCCGACAAAAGUCCAUGAUAAAUGGCUUGAUGUGAUUGAUCAGCGGGACAAGGAGGAGAAAACAACUGCAAUCCAGAGACUCUUUGACCAGCUUCCAAAAAGCAAGGCUCUACUCCUGAGAUGCCUGAUAGGAGUACUGUACAUCAAACAAAAGUCUUCAAUCAGAUGACUGCGUACAACCUAGCAGUUUGCAUUGCCCCCAGCAUUCUUGGGCCACCUACUUCCUGCAGCUCUGAAAUAGAAAAAAAGCUUACAAAACAGGUUGCUCUUGUAGAGUUCCUGACUGAAAACAACCUCUCAAUAUUUGAAGAAGACAUCACUUUCUUUUUUGAGAAAAGCACAAUAUGUUAUAAUGGAGAGAAUGCUGCAGGAGAGGUGUCUUCUACAGACACAGCUCCCGUCUAGGAGGCUUUAUGUGAGGUGGAUUGUGGAGAUAUGACUGCCAGAGAGGCAACAUGAACUCUCUUAUACCAAAUAAAGUCCAUUAUAAAAUGUA